UAGAGAGUAGUUUAAUAAAAAUUUUAGUUUUGGGAAUUAAAGAAAAGGUAAGAAGUCUUCUCUCUAA
rnacentral:tRNA from 1 species